CCUACGGGUGGCAGCAGUGGGGAAUAUUGCUCAAUGGGGGCAACCCUGAUGCAGCGACGCCGCGUGAGUGAAGAAGUCAUUCGUUAUGUAAAGCUCUUUUAGCAGGGACGAAAAUGACGGUACCUGAGUAAGAAGCACCGGCUAACUACGUGCCAGCAGCCGCGGUAAUACGUAGGGGGCAAGCGUUAUCCGGAUUUACUGGGUGUUAAGGGAGCGUAGACGGCAGUGCAAGUCUGGAGUGAAAGGCGGGGGCUCAACCCCCGGACUGCACUGGAAACUGUACGGCUGGAGUGCAGGAGAGGUAAGUGGAAUGCCUGGUGUAGCGGUGAAAUGCGUAGAUAUUAGGAGGAACACCAGUGGCGAAGGCGGCUUGCUGGACUGUAACUGACGUUGAGGCUCGAAAGCGUGGGGAGCAAACAGGAUUAGAUACCCGAGUAGUC
rnacentral:rRNA from 1 species